UACGUAGGGGGCGAGCGUUGUCCGGAUUUAUUGGGCGUAAAGAGCUCGUAGGCGGUUUGGCAAGUCGGGUGUGAAAACUCCGGGCUCAACUCGGAGACGCCACUCGAUACUGCCAUGACUUGAGUCCGGUAGGGGAGUGCGGAAUUCCUGGUGUAGCGGUGAAAUGCGCAGAUAUCGGGAGGAACACCGGUGGCGAAGGCGGUUCUACUGGGCCUGACCUGACGCUGAGGAGCGAAAGCGUGGGGAGCGAACAGG
rnacentral:rRNA from 1 species